GACGAACUUUGGCGGCGUGCUUAACACAUGCAAGUCGAACGGAAAGGCCCUGCUUUUGUGGGGUGCUCGAGUGGCGAACGGGUGAGUAACACGUGAGUAACCUGCCCUUGACUUUGGGAUAACUUCAGGAAACUGGGGCUAAUACCGGAUAGGAGCUCCUGCUGCAUGGUGGGGGUUGGAAAGUUUCGGCGGUUGGGGAUGGACUCGCGGCUUAUCAGCUUGUUGGUGGGGUAGUGGCUUACCAAGGCUUUGACGGGUAGCCGGCCUGAGAGGGUGACCGGCCACAUUGGGACUGAGAUACGGCCCAGACUCCUACGGGAGGCAGCAGUGGGGAAUAUUGCACAAUGGGCGGAAGCCUGAUGCAGCAACGCCGCGUGCGGGAUGACGGCCUUCGGGUUGUAAACCGCUUUCGCCUGUGACGAAGCGUGAGUGACGGUAAUGGGUAAAGAAGCACCGGCUAACUACGUGCCAGCAGCCGCGGUGAUACGUAGGGUGCGAGCGUUGUCCGGAUUUAUUGGGCGUAAAGGGCUCGUAGGUGGUUGAUCGCGUCGGAAGUGUAAUCUUGGGGCUUAACCCUGAGCGUGCUUUCGAUACGGGUUGACUUGAGGAAGGUAGGGGAGAAUGGAAUUCCUGGUGGAGCGGUGGAAUGCGCAGAUAUCAGGAGGAACACCAGUGGCGAAGGCGGUUCUCUGGGCCUUUCCUGACGCUGAGGAGCGAAAGCGUGGGGAGCGAACAGGCUUAGAUACCCUGGUAGUCCACGCUGUAAACGGUGGGUACUAGGUGUGGGGUCCAUUCUACGGGUUCCGUGCCGUAGCUAACGCUUUAAGUACCCCGCCUGGGGAGUACGGCCGCAAGGCUAAAACUCAAAGGAAUUGACGGGGCCCCGCACAAGCGGCGGAGCAUGCGGAUUAAUUCGAUGCAACGCGUAGAACCUUACCUGGGUUUGACAUGGAUCGGGAGUGCUCAGAGAUGGGUGUGCCUCUUUUGGGGUCGGUUCACAGGUGGUGCAUGCCUGUCGUCAGCUCGUGUCGUGAGAUGUUGGGUUAAGUCCCGCAACGAGCGCAACCCUUGUUCACUGUUGCCAGCACGUUAUGGUGGGGACUCAGUGGAGACCGCCGGGGUCAACUCGGAGGAAGGUGGGGAUGACGUCAAGUCAUCAUGCCCCUUAUGUCCAGGGCUUCACGCAUGCUACAAUGGCUGGUACAGAGAGUGGCGAGCCUGUGAGGGUGAGCGAAUCUCGGAAAGCCGGUCUCAGUUCGGAUUGGGGUCUGCAACUCGACCUCAUGAAGUCGGAGUCGCUAGUAAUCGCAGAUCAGCAACGCUGCGGUGAAUACGUUCCCGGGGCU
rnacentral:rRNA from 1 species